CGCGGCUUUGUGGAGGCGGGGUGCAGCCCCGUGGGCAUGGUGUGCUGCUCGCGCUGGCUGGAAAGCCUAUCUCUCCGAGCGUGACUGGGGAGGGGGCUGGGUUUCAUUUUGUUUCUAGAAGUCCCCCUUCACCCUCUUUAGCCCCGGCGUACCGCCGAGAGGAUCGCGUGGAAUGGCUGCAGGGCCUCAGGGCACACCCCACCCUGCGCGCGCCCGCUGGGGCGCCAGAAAGCUCAGCCCCCCCCCCCCCCCCCGGGGGGGUUUCCCUGUACCCAGGAGAAGGCGCGGGUCUCACUUUGUAGCUUUGGUUGGCCUGGACUUCGAUAUACAGACCAGACCCACAGAGAUCAUGCUUCCCUCUGCCUUCUGAGUUCUGCCACCACACCUGGCUAAAGAGUGGGUUUCUUGAAAGAAAACUGUGAAGCACUGUGCCCUGGCAGAGAGACAGAAAACAGGAUGGUUUGUAAAGUGUCCUAGGUCAACUUUUAAAACUCUUGUUUCCUACCCGGGAAAGUUGGUGUGGGGAAGCCGAGGGCACAGAAAUCAGCUGACAUUGCUACUCACCAAAACUCCAACUGUAAGCCCCACAGUGGGGUAGAACCACAGGCUUAGCAUCCCCAGAGGCUGCUCUUCCUGUCCUAGGUUGACAUAAGCCAGCGCCUCUUUCCUGUUAGGCUCCUUUAUGCACCUCCGUUUUCUCUGGGAAAUGGAGAGUUUCAAACCUCUAGGACAGGCCACCAUAAGUCCCACCAGUUAAGGAGCCACCACACAAGGUUUCAUGGACAGGGCACCAGCGUAGGCAGGGCCUUGAAGGGCAGGCGCCAGUUCAAAUGGCCACAGUUGGGUUCAAGCAGCAGCUCCUGGCCAAUCCUCCCAGGGCAAUGGGGAGGGAAACAGCAGGUCCUAGCAAGGGGCCAGCUCUGGUUACACUUUAUGCUGUGUCAUGGGGUGAGGGUGCCAGAGGGGGCUGGCCGGCCAGCUAGGGCAGGUACAGGAGCUGCAAGAGAGCCAGCAGAGAGCUGCAAGCCCUGAUGCCAGAGCAUACCCUACCCCCACUCUACAAGCCUGCCAGGAUAGGGCUGGGCCCUAGUGGCACCCUUUACAUCUCUUUCCAAUCACACAUUGGGGAGAACUUUUAGGAUUUUUUUUUUGUUGUUGUUGUUUUUGAGACAGGCUUUUGUACUGUAGCCUAAAUUGGCCUUGAACUUGUAGAAAGCCUCGUUUUAGACUCUGAGUUAGUGGCCUACAGCACCAUGCUGUGCUACUAAAACUAGUUUCUGUGCCAUUCUGUCUUUAUCCCUCUGUGUAUCUCUGUCUCCCUCUGUGUGUGCCUGUCUCUGCUGUCUCUGUGUGUUUGUCUCCAUCUUUGCCCCAACCCCUUGGACACCCUCUACCCUUUUUAUAAGGUAGGGUCUCUAACUGAACCUGGACAUCACUGAUCACCUGGACUACUGUACAGCAAGCUUCAAGGAUUCUCCAGUCUUCAUCUCCCCAGUAGAGGGGUCACAAAGACGUACCCUCAUACCAGCCUGCUUUUUAUGGGUUCUGGAGGCAAACUCUUUACCAACUAAGCUACCUCUCCAGCUCUAAGACACUUUUAAGCCACGUGGACUUGAAUUUUAGAGGUUGUGACUGGUUCUGGAUCAAGCUGGAUAUCUUCUCCAUCCCUCUCUUCCUCUGUCUUUCCUUGGACAGAUGUCUGCUGAGGGCCCAGUAUGCCAGGCACAGUGCCAUGUGUGGAGGUCCAAUACUGUGUGACACCCUACUAAAGGUUUCUCACUUUAAGGGGACAAGAUGGACAAGGAAGCAGAAGAAUGGGUAGCCCGUGUGAGGGCAAACACUCCGUGCUGAACGCCCAGUGUUCCAGUGUCUCAGAAACAGCCUCUCACAACAUGGAGACAUGGGCAUCGACAGGUGUGGUCGACACUCCUGUAAUCCCAGCACUCAGAAGGCAGAAACAGGAGGAAGUUCAAGGCCAGUCUCGUCUAGGUAGCAAAUUGUGGGCCAGCUGGGACAUAAUGAGAUCGUCUCAAACAAAGCACACCCAAUAACAACAACAACAAAAAAAAAAAAAAAAAAACGGGAACAAACACAUGUCUGCUUGUUCUAUUUGGGUUUGGACUCUUCCAAGGACGGGUAUUACAAUCUCUAGCAUGGAUAGUGCUUUUUGCUCCUCAGUUUUCCUAUCUGUAAGUACUAGAAAGACAGACAUGGGGUGGCAGUGGGAAUGAGGUAAGAAUGGACAGUAAGGUGUCCCAUGGGAGCCUUAUAGUACAGCGUAGUAAUAUACACGGAUUAACGCUGGAAGUCAGACUCUUGUUACCCAUCAGGCUGAUGGCAUUGGGAUAUUACUGCAUCUCUCUCUGUGAUGAGAACCUCCCUACCGGGCCUCAGCAAUGGGAGGAUGAGACGUGGGUGUCACGCCCCUGCAGAGAUGAGCUGGUAGCUACUUUCCUAGCAGACAAGCCAUUUAAGCCUAGAUUUGGGCUGGUUCCCAAGGGCCUGGGGUACGUACUCAGGUUGGUCCUGUAGUGUUGCUGUCUUGAACUUAAUGAUUUUGGAGCCACA
rnacentral:sRNA from 1 species